AGAGCGAACGCUGGCGGCAGGCUUAACACAUGCAAGUCGAGCGGGCGUAGCAAUACGUCAGCGGCAGACGGGUGAGUAACGCGUGGGAACAUACCUUUUGGUUCGGAACAACCCAGGGAAACUUGGGCUAAUACCGGAUAAGCCCUUACGGGGAAAGAUUUAUCGCCGAAAGAUUGGCCCGCGUCUGAUUAGCUAGUUGGUGAGGUAAUGGCUCACCAAGGCGACGAUCAGUAGCUGGUCUGAGAGGAUGAUCAGCCACAUUGGGACUGAGACACGGCCCAAACUCCUACGGGAGGCAGCAGUGGGGAAUAUUGGACAAUGGGCGCAAGCCUGAUCCAGCCAUGCCGCGUGAGUGAUGAAGGCCCUAGGGUUGUAAAGCUCUUUUGUGCGGGAAGAUAAUGACGGUACCGCAAGAAUAAGCCCCGGCUAACUUCGUGCCAGCAGCCGC
rnacentral:rRNA from 1 species